GACGCUUUAGUUUAUGUAAAACGUAAGAUUGCAAGUCUUAAAAAGUACCUAGUAUAAGUGUCU
rnacentral:tRNA from 1 species